GGGCAAGUCUGGUGCCAGCAGCCGCGGUAAUUCCAGCUCCAAUAGCGUAUAUUAAACUUGUUGCAGUUAAAAAGCUCGUAGUUGAAUUUUAGCGUGUUCGAGUUUGCCAUUCGUUUGGCUUUUUCGAGUUCGCUUUUGGGUUUUCCCUUUUUACUUUGAGAAAAUUAGAGUGUUUCAAGCAGACUUUUGUCUUGAAUACUUCAGCAUGGAAUAAUAGAGUAGGACUUUGGUUCUAUUUUGUUGGUU
rnacentral:rRNA from 1 species